GAUCCCAUUGCGGGUCUGCUGGCACUGCAAGCUGGGGCCAAUGCAGGCACCUGGCACCACCCAUGGGUUGUAAAAAUCUUGUAGUCCCAGGGACACAGAGGGCAAAAGCCUGGUGAUCAGCUGCCAGCAGCUGGACAGAGCAGGGACAGGGGCUGGUAGAGCUGGGGGGAGCAGGCAUGGGGCCGAGCAUCCUGCCCCACAUCUCCCGAGCCAGCCCAUGGCAAAGCCGGAUGGGCAGGAGAGCCCCGGGGUAAGUCCAGCCCCUGCCCUGGGGGCAGGCAGGGUGGGAGGUGACUGCGGGAAGCUGAGAGGCUACAAAAGAAGCAUCUCUGGGGGAAAGCUCCACGCAGUGCUGCGUGGUUGUACGUGAGCGAGCGGUCAGUGACAGACACGUCGGGCAGCCAGAGCUGCAUCCCAGAGACAGCCCGACCCACCGGGAUUUGCUCCCUUCUCCGGCUCGCUCAGCAGGGUGGUCUGACUUGUCAAGGUCCCUCAGCGGAGAUCUGAGCAGCCUGGCGUGUUGAAUAGGAGAUGCUCUUCUCGACACCCAGGGACUGUAACGUGCCCAAAGCAUGCCAGUGUUGUGGCAGUCGAGGCCCUGGGCUGUGUCCUGAAAAAGCACUGAGUUCUCCUUCAGUGCCACUUCCCGAUGGAAGCACAUCAGAGCCCCAGCUGGGAUCACAGUGCAAAAACACACCCGGUUCAACUCCUGCUAACAGGCAAACAGCCCUGACUUGUCCCCAUUAAAAUCCCCCUGCCGUGAA